rnacentral:tRNA from 1 species
GGGCUCGUGGCUCAGUGGUAGAGCGUUUGCUUGACAUGGAGAAGGUCCCAGGUUCAAUCCCCAGCAACCUCA